GCCGGCGUGUCGGAAUGGCAGACGAGGGAGACUCAAAAUCUCUUGUUGGAAACAACGUGCGGGUUCGAGUCCCGCCGCCGGCA
rnacentral:tRNA from 2 species